rnacentral:rRNA from 1 species
AUUGAACGCUGGCGGCAUGCCUUACACAUGCAAGUCGAACGGUAACAGGUCUUCGGAUGCUGACGAGUGGCGAACGGGUGAGUAAUACAUCGGAACGUGCCCGAUCGUGGGGGAUAACGGAGCGAAAGCUUUGCUAAUACCGCAUACGAUCUACGGAUGAAAGCAGGGGACCGCAAGGCCUUGCGCGGACGGAGCGGCCGAUGGCAGAUUAGGUAGUUGGUGGGAUAAAAGCUUACCAAGCCGACGAUCUGUAGCUGGUCUGAGAGGACGACCAGCCACACUGGGACUGAGACACGGCCCAGACUCCUACGGGAGGCAGCAGUGGGGAAUUUUGGACAAUGGGCGAAAGCCUGAUCCAGCCAUGCCGCGUGCAGGAUGAAGGCCUUCGGGUUGUAAACUGCUUUUGUACGGAACGAAAAGACUCCUUCUAAUAAAGGGAGUCCAUGACGGUACCGUAAGAAUAAGCACCGGCUAACUACGUG